GAUGAACGCUGGCGGCGUGCCUAAUACAUGCAAGUCGAGCGAACAGAUGAGGAGCUUGCUCCACUGACGUUAGCGGCGGACGGGUGAGUAACACGUGGAUAACCUACCUAUAAGACUGGGAUAACUUCGGGAAACCGGAGCUAAUACCGGAUAAUAUAUUGAACCGCAUGGUUCAAUAGUGAAAGACGGUUUUGCUGUCACUUAUAGAUGGAUCCGCGCCGCAUUAGCUAGUUGGUAAGGUAACGGCUUACCAAGGCAACGAUGCGUAGCCGACCUGAGAGGGUGAUAGGCCACACUGGAACUGAGACACGGUCCAGACUCCUACGGGAGGCAGCAGUAGGGAAUCUUCCGCAAUGGGCGAAAGCCUGACGGAGCAACGCCGCGUGAGUGAUGAAGGUCUUCGGAUCGUAAAACUCUGUUAUUAGGGAAGAACAAAUGUGUAAGUAACUAUGCACGUCUUGACGGUACCUAAUCAGAAAGCCACGGCUAACUACGUG
rnacentral:rRNA from 1 species